ensembl:misc_RNA Metazoa_SRP Metazoan signal recognition particle RNA
GCUGGGCAUAGUGAUGUGUGCCUGUAAUCCCAGCUACUUGGGAGGCUGAGGCAGGAGAAUCGCUUGAACCUGGGAGGCAGAGGUUGCAGUGAGCCAAGGUCAUGCCACUGUACUCCAGCCUGGGUGACAGAGCAAGACUCUGUCUCAA